GACGAACGCUGGCGGCGUGCUUAACACAUGCCAGUCGAACGGAAAGGCCCUGCUUUUGUGGGGUGCUCGAGUGGCGAACGGGUGAGUAACACGUGAGUAACCUGCCCUUGACUUUGGGAUAACUUCAGAAAACUGGGGCUAAUACCGGAUAGGAGCUCCUGCUGCAUGGUGGGGGUUGGAAAGUUUCGGCGGUUGGGGAUGGACUCGCGGCUUAUCAGCUUGUUGGUGGGGUAGUGGCUUACCAAGGCUUUGACGGGUAGCCGGCCUGAGAGGGUGACCGGCCACAUUGGGACUGAGAUACGGCCCAGACUCCUACGGGAGGCAGCAGUGGGGAAUAUUGCACAAUGGGCGGAAGCCUGAUGCAGCAACGCCGCGUGCGGGAUGACGGCCUUCGGGUUGUAAACCGCUUUCGCCUGUGACGAAGCGUGAGUGACGGUAAUGGGUAAAGAAGCACCGGCUAACUACGUG
rnacentral:rRNA from 1 species